CCCUUAGAUGUUCUGGGCCGCACGCGCGCUACACUGAUGCAUUCAACGAGUCUAAAACCUGCUCUGAUAGGGGUGGGUAAUCUUUUGAAUGUGCAUCGUGAUUGGGAUAGAUGAUUGCAAUUUUUCAUCUUCAACGAGGAAUGCCUAGUAAACGCAAGUCAUCAGCUUGCAUUGAUUACGUCCCUGCCCUUUGUACACACCGCCCGUCGCUCCUACCGAUUGAAUGAUCCGAUGAAUAUCAUGGAUUGAGGAUGCAAGCAGGUUCGCCUGUCUUCAUCUUCGAGAAGUGAAGUAAAUCUUAUCAUUUAGAGGAAGGGGAGGUCGUAACA
rnacentral:rRNA from 1 species